CCUGGUGAUCUACAAAGGCUAUGGCUGCUCUGGGUCUGGUCCUGUUCACUUCUGGCAUCCCAGCCGUGACAGCACCACCGUUCUAAGUUCGGCGGCUCUGUGUUACAACUCCGAGGCCAAGGUUGGUGCUUGAGGAUGAGUUUUUAUUUGGCUGACUUAGGUGUGGAGCCCUGGGAAGGGUCCGCCUUGACCAGUGAGCUACACCUAACCUAUAUUCCUCCCGCUCUGCAGCCGAAUCCAUCCAGUUAACUAGCUGAGUACCUGGGCCUUUCUGAGGCUGCUUCCCCAUUUGGUAGAUGGGUCCAAACCCACCAGCUUGUUGCAGUUGAAGGCCACCUGAGACACAUCCACGCCCCGCUGCCUGAAGUCGGCCACCAGGAAGCUUGAGGUGGAGCCCGAGCCAAGGGAAGGGCAAGGAGACACAAAUUAGAGCCUACGAGUGGCCUGGGCCUCCCUCAGGGUUGAGGAGGGAUGCCGGAGCAGGGGUGCCUCUCUGAGAAGAAGGGUCCCGUUCCGGGAGUUCGGUGAUGGCGGCGGCGGCAGCUGGCAAGGUAUCUCAGAGGAGGGCUCCACUAACUCAGGUGACCUCCUCCUCGGUUACAAUGACCCACCUCUCCCCCAGGCAGAGGGACCUUCGGCCUCCACCUUGAUUGCUGGAUAACUCAAGAGCCUCUUCCCAAAGGUGUCAAAUCUGCUACCUACUCCUGUCCUUGGGGAGCCUGCUUCAGUAACAGCUCAGGUCAAAAUAAGUAAGACAGGGAGCAAACCUGUACGCUGUAACCAAUGUAGGAGUUAUGUGGAGGGAAAGCUAACUUUUACCAUGUCAAGGUUAAGGGGUGCCUGGGUGGCUCAGUCGGUUAAACAUCCGGCCCUUGGCUUCAGCUCAGGUCACAAUCUCGUGGUUUCGUGGGUUCAAGCCCCAUGUCG